GAUGAACGCUAGCUACAGGCUUAACACAUGCAAGUCGAGGGGCAGCAUGGUCUUAGCUUGCUAAGGCCGAUGGCGACCGGCGCACGGGUGAGUAACACGUAUCCAACCUGCCGUCUACUCUUGGACAGCCUUCUGAAAGGAAGAUUAAUACAAGAUGGCAUCGUGAGUCCGCAUGUUCACAUGAUUAAAGGUAUUCCGGUAGACGAUGGGGAUGCGUUCCAUUAGAUAGUAGGCGGGGUAACGGCCCACCUAGUCUUCGAUGGAUAGGGGUUCUGAGAGGAAGGUCCCCCACAUUGGAACUGAGACACGGUCCAAACUCCUACGGGAGGCAGCAGUGAGGAAUAUUGGUCAAUGGGCGAGAGCCUGAACCAGCCAAGUAGCGUGAAGGACGACUGCCCUAUGGGUUGUAAACUUCUUUUAUAAAGGAAUAAAGUCGGGUAUGGAUACCCGUUUGCAUGUACUUUAUGAAUAAGGAUCGGCUAACUCCGUG
rnacentral:rRNA from 1 species